UACAGAGGGUGCGAGCGUUAAUCGGAAUUACUGGGCGUAAAGCGCGCGUAGGCGGCUUUGCAAGUCGAUUGUGAAAUCCCCGGGCUCAACCUGGGAACUGCAUUCGAGACUGCAUUGCUAGAGUAUGGGAGAGGGAAGUGGAAUUUCAGGUGUAGCGGUGAAAUGCGUAGAUAUCUGAAGGAACAUCAGUGGCGAAAGCGACUUCCUGGACCAAUACUGACGCUCAGGCACGAAAGCGUGGGGAGCAAACAGG
rnacentral:rRNA from 1 species